GAUGAACGCUGGCGGCGUGCUUAACACAUGCAAGUCGAACGGAAAGGCUCCUGCUUGCAGGGGUACUCGAGUGGCGAACGGGUGAGUAACACGUGGGUGAUCUGCCCUGCACUUCGGGAUAAGCCUGGGAAACUGGGUCUAAUACCGGAUAGGACGAUGGUUUGGAUGCCAUUGUGGAAAGUUUUGCGGUGUGGGAUGAGCUCGCGGCCUAUCAGCUUGUUGGUGGGGGAAUGGCCUACCAAGGCGUCGACGGGUAGCCGGCCUGAGAGGGUGUACGGCCACAUUGGGCCUGAGAUACGGCCCAGACUCCUACGGGAGGCAGCAGUGGGGAAUAUUGCACAAUGGGCGCAAGCCUGAUGCAGCGACGCCGCGUGGGGGAUGACGGCCUUCGGGUUGUAAACUCCUUUCGCUAGGGACGAAGCGCAAGUGACGGUACCUGGAGAAGAAGCACCGGCUAACUACGUG
rnacentral:rRNA from 1 species